CAAUCCCAUCAGAAACCAGACCACACAUCUCAACAUCACUCAACUCUGUCACACGUGUGCAGAACCUCACCGUUCCUAUUUCAUACCAGUGGUAGUUGGUGUAUUGUUGGUGCUGGCCAUAAUUGCAGUUUUGGGCGGGAUUUUGUUUUGGCACAUCAGGAACCGUAAACAAACAGCACAAACUGGCAGACAUCAAGACGGAAGCUUUCUUGCUGUUGUCUUGUUGCUGCUUUACUGUACUUGUGCGUAUAUUUGCAUGAUCAUUCAUGCAUGUGU